rnacentral:rRNA from 1 species
AACGAACGCUGGCGGCAGGCUUAACACAUGCAAGUCGAGCGCCCCGCAAGGGGAGCGGCAGACGGGUGAGUAACGCGUGGGAAUCUACCCAUCUCUACGGAAUAACGCAUGGAAACGUGUGCUAAUACCGUAUACGUCCUUCGGGAGAAAGAUUUAUCGGAGAUGGAUGAGCCCGCGUUGGAUUAGCUAGUUGGUGGGGUAAAGGCCUACCAAGGCGACGAUCCAUAGCUGGUCUGAGAGGAUGAUCAGCCACACUGGGACUGAGACACGGCCCAGACUCCUACGGGAGGCAGCAGUGGGGAAUAUUGGACAAUGGGCGCAAGCCUGAUCCAGCCAUGCCGCGUGAGUGAUGAAGGCCCUAGGGUUGUAAAGCUCUUUCACCAGUGAAGAUAAUGACAGUAACCGGAGAAGAAGCCCCGGCUAACUUCGUGCCAGCAGCCGCAGUAAAAC